UGAAUCGCGUAGUAAUCUCGGAUCAUCAUGCCGCGGCCGAAUACGCUUCCCGGGCCUUGUUACACACCGCCCGUCACACCAUGGGAGUUUGUAACGCCCAAAGUCGGUGGCCUAACCUUUAUGGAGGGAGCCGCCUAAGGCGGGACAGAUGACUGGGGUGAAGUCGUAACAAGGUAGCCGUAGGAGAACCUGCGGCUGGAUCACCUCCUUU
rnacentral:rRNA from 1 species